rnacentral:pre_miRNA from 1 species
GGGUGGGGAUUUGUUGCAUUACUUGUAGCUAUGUGUAGAGUAUUGCACUUGUCCCGGCCUGU